ACGUGAAACUAUCACGAGGCUAAAGCGGAUGUACAUACGUAGCCGAAAGGGGGGGCUCAUCCCCUCGAGCCUCCAGCGGUCGUAGUUUUCGUACCGUCGCACCGGAGCCCUUCCCCGUUAACGCGGGGAGUCCGGGCUCCGUCGGCGGACGUCGCUACGGCGGACUAGGAGGAUAGGGGGGUGGAUUUCUCUCCCCAGUAGGCGGUCGCGGCCGUUUGAGAGUUGUCUAAGGCCCGGGAGUUGGGAACCGUCCGGCGGCGCGCGAAAUAUUCGCCGUCGGCGGGGACUCUCCCUCGAUCCUGACGGACUUUCGGACGGUUGAAGUUGACGACACGGAGGAAAGCAAAUCCCCGGUCGUUCGCGGCCGGAAUGCGAUCGUUCAUCCGUCCCGUCUUGAAACACGGACCAAGGAGUCUAACAUGUACGCGAGUCAACGGGUUGGCUAAACCCCAAGGCGCAACGAAAGUGAAAAACUGAGAUUGAGAGAGAUAGAGCUUCCGCAACCUCCCACCUCUUCGGAGGGGGGAGGCCGGGAACUCUUUUUUUUUUCUAUCUCUAUUUGGGUCGAUCCGUGAUCCCUUAGUUGGACCGGCGCAGACCCGGGGCUCGCCGCUACCUCCUCGAGAUUCGUCUCGGGGCGGGCGGCGGGCACCUAGAGCGUACAUGCUAGUACCCGAAAGAUGGUGAUCUAUGCCUGGCCAGGAUGAAGCCAGAGGAAACUCUGGUGGAGGUCCGUAGCGAUUCUGACGUGCAAAUCGAUCGUCAGAGCUGGGUAUAGGGGCGAAAGACCAAUCGAACCAUCUAGUAGCU
rnacentral:rRNA from 1 species